rnacentral:lncRNA from 1 species
CAGCAUUCAUGGUUUUUAUGAGUGUCUACAUUGAGAAAUACAGCACACGGGCACAGGAAUUGUUAAAAUAUAUGCGCGAUAUAAGACUAGCGGCAACGAGGUCAGAAAACUGGGCCACCUAUGACGAGCAAUUUAGGCUAAAAAUAGAAAAGAAUCCAAAUUUAUCUUGGGGAAAUAUACACGGUGAAUAUUGGCUAUUACACAUCACAUCUCCCAUAGUACAAAACAGUGUGUCAGUGCAAUCAUAGGGUUAUAGAACAAAUACACAACAUCCGCUAAUCUGAUGAUUAUAAAUUCCUAACUGUCAGUAUUAAUUAUAAGCCAAUUCAACUAUAAAAGUGAUAACGUAUAAUGUUAACAUAACAAUCCUCCCUCUUUUAAUUUAGAAGAUCAAGAUAAACAAGAUUAAUCUCUAGUGAAUGAAAGUAAUAAAUUCAAUUUGCACUCAAUUGAACUAAAUAGCUACAAGUUUUACUGUCUAUAUUUUUAAUGUUCAAUUAUGAAAUCCUAAACCUACAGUUAUAUCACUACACUAACUUAACCACAAAUAUUUACAGUCAUAUGUUUCUAAUAAGUCUCUCUGGUGCCUUUCUUACUAUUUCUGUGCGGUGCAUAACGAUAGUAUCAUUAGCAUUUUCAACUGUUUUAUUUUUGGUUAUUUUAGUUUGUUCGGAUUCAUUGUUAUUUUCAGAGUUUUCGGUAUCGCAAUUGAAUUACAUGUUGGUAUUGUUAUGAAUUCAGUGUCAAUAUCAGAUAUGGUAAUUUCAAGUAUGUUUGGUAUGUUUUUAUUUUCCUGCGGUACGAAUUCACGAAUCUGAUCAAUAUGUCUCUUCCAUACUAAAUCUCCAAAUUGGACUUGAUAAGUUACUGUUCCGAGUUUAUGAACGAUAGUUCCUUGUUUCCACUUGUUAUUGUCUCUAUAGUCUCUUUAAGAUUUGGACUCCCUAAUGGAUGCAAAAAGAAUAUUUGUUUUUACCAUCUCCUCAUUUUAUUAUUAUUCUCUGUGGAGCUAAUGAUUUGACAGAUUUAGAAUUGACAGGGAAUGGUUUAAUUGAAAAUGUAAAAAUGGUCUACCCUACGUUACCAGGCUUUAUUUAAAAAGGUUAUUAUAAUAUGGUCUUUAAUGCUACAGUGCGAUACUGGCAUGUUGCACCCUUGAAUGCGGGUGCAAUAAUAGAACAGAACAGAAAAAGAGAAAUUUAGUGGCCAAAAACUUUGUUACAGAAAAUGGGGGUAAAGCUAUAUUACAUGAGAACAUUAGGGCAAGUGAAGUGUCUUUAUACAGAACAAAUGGAACUAAUUUGUCACAAACUGGAAAUCAGGUUUUCUUGAAUAAUAUACAAGGGUGUGGGGGUUGAGUCUUUCCUACGCACAACAUAAUCAACUUUUCCUAAGAUUCAAUAAUGAAAAUUUUGUGGAGGUGAGAACCCAUGUCAGAUUUGGAAGCUGACUUGGGCUCUCAUGUGGCGGUCCAGGGAGACUGGUAGUGAUUGGGGGAUUAUUUCACUCGGCCCUUGCUCUGGGCCUGACAAGUUCUAAAAUUUGCAGGUUUGGAAAAUGUGGUUAGUGGUAACGGUGGGGUCUACAGAUGGGUGACUCUGGGACCUCCUCCACCUCAUCUUAUAGAGGGGAGGCCUACACCUGCCAACAGGUGGGGCACUAAUAACUGGAGCAUUGGUAAUACGAGUGUUUUCCCGGUCACUCCCCAUGGUAGGUGGUGGUGUAACCGUGUUUAACUACCAGGGGUUUUAUGACACUAUGUCAACAUAGGUCAGCUGAUAGCCAUUGUGUAUAGGUAAUCAGUAGUCACCCUGGCGCCUCAACAAAAUAUUAUAGAAUACUCUGUAGCCAAAGUAAUGCCACAAAGUAAAAAUGUAUAUUCUAGUCAUGAAAAUGUAAAUACAAGUUGGUGUAAUAAAAUGUAUUUUUAAUUCAAAGGAUUGUUUUUGUAUAAGUUGUAAAUGAAAUACAGAGGAUGGAACCUCUACACAAAUGAGUAUAAUAUA